rnacentral:rRNA from 1 species
UACAGAGGUCCCAAGCGUUGUUCGGAUUCACUGGGCGUAAAGGGUGCGUAGGUGGUGAGGUAAGUCGGAUGUGAAAGCUCCGAGCUCAACUCGGAAAUGGCAUUGGAAACUACCUUGCUAGAGGGUUUGAGGGGGGACUGGAAUACUUGGUGUAGCAGUGAAAUGCGUAGAUAUCAAGUGGAAUACCAGUGGCGAAGGCGGUUCUCUGGGCAUGUCCUGACGCUGAGGAGCGAAAGUGUGGGGAGCGAACAGG